GAUUAACAUCUCCAAGACGGUGCAGCCAAAGCUCCAAAUAUCAGCUUUAAAUCCAUCAUACUCUUUGUUUUUUUCAAUAACCUCGGGAGCCGUCCAGCCUGUUGUCCCGCAGCUAGAUUUCAUAAGAGCAUUUAAUUCGAGUACCUUUGCCAAACCAAAAUCUGCAAUUUUCACCUCACCUUUCUCAUGUAUUAGUAUGUUUUCUGGUUUGAUGUCACAGUGGAUGAUCUGGGUCUCACACUCUUCAUGCAAAUAGAAAAUGCCUCGGGCUAUGUUCUGGGCUAUUUCUACUCUUUCCUCCCAAGCUGGCUUUUGUUCUGAUGUGAAGAGAAAGUCUGCAAGUGAGCCAUUGCUCAUGUAUUCGUAAACAAGGAGCCUAUUAAUUCUAUCAUAGCAAUAACCAAAUAGCCGAACUAGGUUUUUGUGGUGAGUUCUCCCUAUUACUUUCAUCUCAUUCUGAAAUUCCCUGUCACCUUCUGCCACCACGUUCUCUAGCCUUUUGAUGGCCACUAUAAUGCCAUUUGAUAUGACACCUCUAAAAACUGUCCCAAAAGCUCCUUUACCAAUUUCAUCCUUGAAAUUAUUUGUUGCUGUAUUGAGCUCAUCAUAUGUAAAAGAUCACAAAGUGAUAUCUUCAAAUAGUGCAUUAUUUCCCUGACCUGAAAUCUUGUUGUAAUUCCAAACACGAUAUCUGUAUAAUAGAACACCAAAAAUUGCUAGAAGAAAAAUUGCAAGAGUUAGAAGUACAAUGCCUAUUAUAAGGAUAUUCAUUCGUUGCUCUUUCGUUUUUUUAAUGCUCUCAAUUGUUGUCUCUGAACUUCUAUUGCUUACCUUGAAAAAAGUUGCCAUUGGUUCAUGUCGUUGAGUUCUCCCAAAUCUCAGUGGAAGCCUUUGUUUUCUGCACUCUUGGUUCUUAUAUAAUGCAGCUUCACAGUUGCCGUCUGUUAAACAGUCCUCUCUGCAUUCUGUUUCUGUGCUAGCUUGGAACUUAGCAUAUGGGUUAUCUUCCCAUGAUACAGCUUCCAGUUCCUGAAUGAUAUAAUUACUCUUUCUGAAGCUCUUGCAAUCUUCAUUGCUGGAAUUCCUCUGGCAGCCCAAAUUCUUUUGGCCCUGGUCAAUGAAAUCAAAACCUGGAGGACAAGCACAUGAUGUGCCCUGAUCCACAAGAGUACAAUAUGCAUUCACACCGCACAAGCCAAUUGGAUAACACUUGUUGUCAGAUGACCACCACUCAAUUGACCAAUUACCAUAUUGAUCCAGAUUAUGUGAAUAUAACCGGAAUAUCCCAUCUACAUCAACUGUUGCACAGUAGAUCAGGUUACCAGAUAUGGUUCCCUUAUCCUUCAGAAUUUUUAUAUUAAAGCCGGUAGCAUUUAACAGGUAUAAAUGGCCAUUGCUAUCAAGAUUCAAACUCACAUUUUCUCCAGCCGUGUAUGUAUCUGAAUGCCAGUAGGCAUAAUCUUUUUCAGCAUAUUCUACUGGAUAUUGCACCAGGUUUCCAUCUGUUUGCAUAAUGAGUUGAAAUCUUCCACUUGAUUUAUUUGUGUUGGAGAUGCUAGACACUAGCUUUUUCCCUGCCAAAAGACGCUGUCCUGGUAAAAUGGAGUCUGUUGGAACAUCAAAACUCUGCCAUAUGAUUCUUGACUCUGAAUCAUAGAGCACAAAAUUACCGGAGUCAAGCAUGGAGGCUGAGAAGGCAGGCUGAGAACCUUCUGCAAUUGGUAUCUGCUGGCCUUGAUUCAGCUGCAAGAUUAGUCUACCAUCACUGCUCCAGCUCAGAGUCACAUCAUUUGGUAGUGGUGGAUCAUCACGGUUUGCUGUCCAUAUGACAGUUUUCUGCUGGAUUUUGGCAAACCAGAUGCCUACAGCAAAGCCAUCCCCUUUUGGGUAAAAUCCAAAAGCAAAAUGGCCAGAAUCUGAGGACCAAUAUGAAGAAUUGGGAGUGAGAGAAGAACCUAGGCUAAUGUUGGAAGUUCUUUGUUGAGCUGUUGCUCCAGAAAAUAUGGAACUUAGAAUGAGAAGAAACAGGACCAUUGCUACAAUUUUUGGAUUGUAGAACAUGUUAUUCUUGUCUCUCAAUUCCCGAGUUCUCCCCAAUAUUUCAAUUCCUCAAUAUAGGGAAUAGAAAAUUUGGUCAAUCUCUCUUGUUCAAUUUUCCAAACUAUUGAGAACACUCGACUUGAAGUUGUUAAGAAGUCAAUAAAAGUAGGCUUACCGUAUAAAGUUUUCUGAAGGGUAUGAAUCAUGCGCCCAUAAUUGAACGGCAUGGGUUGUUAAAAUGAGAACUGAUCUGUUCAGUUGGAAACGAGCAUGCCCAGCCGGAAACGUUUGUUAUUUUCUUUUCGUCAUUUUCGGGGCAGACCUACAUAUCCC
rnacentral:misc_RNA from 1 species